ensembl:rRNA 5S_rRNA 5S ribosomal RNA
GUCUACAGCCAUACCAUCCUGAAAGCGCCUGAUCCCGUCAAAUCUCAAAUGCAAUCAAGGGUAGGGCUUGUUCAGUACCAGUGUGGGUGACUGACUGGGAAUAGCAAGUGCUGUAGUCC